AUUGAACGCUGGCGGCAGGCCUAACACAUGCAAGUCGAGCGAGCGGCGGACGGGUGAGGAAUGUAUGGGGACUGCCCGAUAGAGGGGGAUAACAACUGGAAACGGUAGCUAAUACCGCAUACUAUAGGAUAACCCAUAUGGGAUUAGCUAGUAGGUGAGGUAAUGGCUCACCUAGGCGACGAACCCUAGCUGGUCUGAGAGGAUGAUCAGCCACCCUGGGACUGAGACACGGCCCAGACUCCUACGGAGGCAGCAGUGGGGAUUAUUGCACGAUGGGCGCAAGCCUGAUGCAGCCAUGCCGCGUGUAUGAAGAAGGCCCUAGGGUUGUAAAGUCCUUUCAGUCGGGAGGCGUUACCGACAGAAGAAGCACCGGCUAACUCCGUGCCAGCAGCCGCGGUAAUUC
rnacentral:rRNA from 1 species